GAUGCCCUAUCCCUAAAUUUCAGCUGACAGAAUUUCCAAAAGAUUCCUUCACACCCCUCUGAUUUUUUCUCACAAAGUCACACUCUUGUAUUUUAUAUAAAGGGCCAUAUAUCACUCACACAGACAGGCCUACAUACAUAUUACACACACGAAAAACCUCUCUCUGAAAUUCAGUUUUUUUUCUUACACCUUUAGACUAAUUUGGAGACAGAAUUUAUUUUAGAAAAUUUUCUUUUACAAGUUUCAAUUUCUUUCAUAUUACUGAUUGGAAAGAAAAUAGUUUCAUAAGUUUGGUUUUUUUUUUCUGGAUCAACCUUUAUUUUUUGAAGCUGAUUAGAAAUUGAGGUCAUGUUUCAUUCUGGAAUUUCCUUAUUGAUCUUCCGGUAGCUUGCUGUUAUUUUCUCUGAGUUUGCUGAGCUUAUUCUUCAGUUUUCAGCAUUUAUUUGGCUUUUGUUGAUGUCUUCCCCAAAUAGGUAUGUAAGAUUCCUUCUUGUAACUUUUGUGAAUGUGGAAAAACAGAAUUAACAUAUUGAUGCCAUGUCUACAUCUAUUUUCUGAUGUUUGUAUAUUUAGAUCUGAUUCAUCUAUGUUUCUCUUGAUGGUUGUAUGAUUCUGUUAAUUCAUUUUAAGCUGAAUUUGUAGGCUAUAUUGACUGGUUUGGUUCAAAAUCAUUAUUAAUUCAACUGUCAAUAUGAGCUUAAGAAGUUAAGAGGUGUUGGUGUGAUGCUUUUAUACCUUGUUGAUCCUUCUGUGCUCCUAAAUCGUUUCAAAUAUAUGUUAUCUUUUAGUUUAGUCAUGAUUCAAGCCUAAUGUCAUAGAUAGGUCAUUGAUCAAGUUUAAAGGUUUUUUCAUGCUCAAAACAUCCCCAUGUUUGAUUGAUUGUUCCCUGUAUAAUGACUUAUUUCCUUGAAUAGGUGGUUCAUGCUUGAAAUGGUGUUUGCAGGGGAUGAUUUAUAAAACCAGUUUGUGUUUAUCUUUUCAGUUUUCAAAAUGGAAUUGUUUUUUGAGUAAACUCAGGAAUUACUCAACAGUUAGACUAAUCUUGUUUGCAUUUACAUGUUUAGCUACUUGUCACGACCCCGAACCGGACCCGAUCGGAAUGGCACCUCUCAUGAAACAAGGCCAGCUAACACAAACCCUCAAACCUUUUAAGACCGUUAUAAUAAUUGAUUUUAAGUCAUAAAUAAACUAUAAAUCCCAAAAUAACGAGUGAAGUAGAAUAACACAGCCCGACAUCGAGGUGUCACCAGUCAUGAGAAUCUAAACAUCUGUCUAAAAGUGUGAAAAGACUACAGAGUCAAGUACAAAGCUAGUACAAGGAAAGUAAAGAUAGAAGAAUGGAGAAGCACUGGGCUACGAAUGCCGAGUAAGUAAAAGUGAAAGGAGUAAUGUGAGCGACCAACUCAGUAAGUAAUAAAAGUAAAGGCAGCUAAGCGAUAAGAAAACAUGUAAAACACAGCAAAAUACUACAAUGAGGCAGUAUAAAACCAAGACAAUAACAAAAUAGUAAAAGUUCAUAGAAACGCCUUGGUUAAGUAAACUCUCUCUUUAAAACUUAUUUUAGCAGUUUAAACGAGUGAAUAAAAAUAGGGGGAAAAGACAUAUACAUAAAUCAACCCCUCGGGCACAAUACCAAUGGAUUCAGCCCAUCGUGCUAUCUCACAAUCGUUCAUAUCAGCCCCUCGUGCUAUAUCACAUCUCACACUGGGUACCCGCGCUCUCUGGGGGUGUACAGACUCCGGGAGGGGCCCCUUACGGCCCAAGCACAAUAACAAGCCAUCUCGUGGCAUAAUCAAAGAGACUCCUGGCCUCAUAUCAAGUAACCUUGUGGCGUAACAACUCAGGCUCUCGGCCUCAAAAUCAUAAAUCAGUACAAUACUGCUGCGGUGCACAACCCAACCCCAUAAUAUCCUCACAACACAUGCGCUCGCCCUUACUCAGCCAGAACCUCUCAAGCCACUCCGGGCAAUAGUAAAACAUGAUGCUCAGCCCAAAAUAUCAUUUAAAAUAUCAAAACAAGUAAACAUGGCUGAGUUGUGAAAAUAGUAGAAUAUAGCAUGACUGAGUAUAAAUACGAAGUCAAAAAUAUUGAGAAAUAGUAGUAAAAAUCCCUUAAGGUUCCAAAACAGUUGGCACGAGGCCCAAAUAUGAUAUCCAGCGCAAAACAUGAUGAUAGCAAAUAGUUUUCAAUCAAAUACGCUGUUAAAUAGUCAUACGAGACUAAGUCACAAUUUCCAACGGUGCACGAUCUCACACUCGUCAUCUAGCGUGUGAGUCACCUCAAAGUAGCACAACGAUGUGAAAUUCAGAGUUUCAUACCCUCAGGACAAUAUUUACAAUUAUUACUUACCUUUAUCCGGUCCAAACUCUAUCCCGCAAUGCCUUUGUCAUUCGUAUCGGCCUCCGGAUGCGCCAAAUCUAUCCAAAAAAAAGGAUUAUACCAUCAAAAUAUGCUAAGGGAACAAAUCUCACUCAAAAUAACAAAUUUACAUCACAAAUUUCGAAAUUGGCCAAAUCCGACCUCGGGCCCACGUAUCGAAUUUUGAUAAAAAUUACAAGCCCUCAAAUACCUAGCAUAUCAAAUACAUCAAAAUAAUGACCCCUCAAAUCCCAGAUUAGGUCUUCAAUUUUCAUGCCCUAACUUUCAAUUUUUAGGCUUAAAUUACACAAAUUUCAUGAUUAAUUAGGUAGAAACCACAUUUGAUUGAGUAUUAAGUCCAUAAAUCUUACCUCCAAGUGUUUUCCCUUAAUUCCCUCUUCAAUCCUCCUAAAAAAGCUCUAAAAUCGGCAACAAUUGUGAAACUUAGACCCAAAAUCAAAGAUAUGGCCUUUUAAAAUAUUCUUCCCAGCACUUAAAAUCUCUUGCUCGCGAACACGGUCAAUGCCUCGCGUUCGCGAAACACAAACUCGUGUUGACCAUUUUUUCCUUCAUUGUGAUCGCGACUUCCCGUAUGAGAAUGCGAUGGCUUGUAUUCCCAAGUCAUAGUGAACGUGGCUCCCCACCCGCCCCAUCUGAUCACUUUCCUCAAUACGAACGCCGCAAGAACCUCGCGAAUGUGAUGACUAUUGGAAUCGAUGCUUCGCGAUCGUGGGACCACCUUCACGAAUGCGAAGGCCAACUUCACAGCCUCACAUCCUAACCUUUCGCGAUUGCGGGAUAUCAAUCGCGAAUGCGAAGGUCAAAAACCUGCAACACCAACAACAGUUUUUUCUACAAUUUUCUUCAACAUGAAAUGAUCCGUUUAACCACCUGAAACUCACCCGAGGCACUCGAGACCUCAACAAAGCAUGUCAACAUAUCCCAUAACAUAAUUCAAACUUGUUCCAAUCUUCGGAACGCUCAAAACAAUAUCAAAACACCAAAUUUGAACCAGAUUCAAGCCUAAGAAUUCCAAAAACUUCUAAAUUCCGCUUUCGAUCAAAAAGUCUAUCAAAUUUCGUCUGAAUGACCUGAAAUUUUGUACAUAUGUCAUAAAUGAUACGAUGAACCUACUACAACUUCCGAAAAUCCAUUCCGACCCAUAUAUCAAAAUAUCACCUAUUAACCGGAAAACAUCAAAAUUUCAAUUUCGCCAAUUCAAUCCUAAAUCUACUUCGAACCAUCAUAACGCAUUCGGAUCACGCUCCUAAGUCUCAAAUCACUUUUCGAAACUAUCUGAACCAUCAGCACUCACAUCCGACCCUUUUUCACAUAAGUCAACAUCCGGUUGACUAUUCGAAGUUAAGCUUACUGAAAAGAGACUAAGUGUCUCAAACCUUAUCAAAAUCUCUCCGAACCCGAGCCAACCAACCCGAUAGCACAUAGUACAACUGAACAAAAGAAUAAAAAGCAGAAAUGAGGAAUACAGAGUAGUAACGCAUGAUACACUACUGCCGGUGGUCAAGUAAUUUAUGUGAGUAGCCUAGUGGUUAUCUCAUUGUAAAUCAAUAUCCACAAGGGAAUUAAAAAAUCACUAUCCUAAAUCAUUUUUUUCUCUUUCUGGAUAAUGUUUGAAGAAGGUUGUUCGGAGCAGUGAUGUACAGAUCUCUUUCCUUAUUUAUAAAAUAUGGAACUCGUUGGGUUGUAGUUAGUUAAUGACUUGUAAUGAUUUAAUUUCUAUACCUCUUUUGUAUUGAUAAGUUAAUUUAAUGGUUGAUCAUGUUGUAUUAGGUUAAACCUGUUGUAGUUAAAUAUAAGCAUAUUUGAUUCUAUAGCUUUAGAGUGAUAAUCCUAUGGAAAUCUGUUUUUGGAUUAAAAUGUAAAAAUCGCUUUGUCUUUCUGUUUGCACAUGUAUUUACUGUUUAAAAAACUUCAGCCUCCCUUUUUUCUCCCCUUCUCCUCUUCUUCUUUUAAAACACUUUACAUUUUGAUGCUGCUAAAGUAACUGUAUAAUUGAAUUUCAAAUCUUCCAUUGUUUCAUUAAUGAUUUAAUCUGGAGGUCACUGCUUAGUCCCCUACGACACAUUUUUUUUAUACUAAAAGACUGAAGUUUUCCGGUUACAAAGACAAAAUUUCUAGAGCUGAAGUUUCCAGUUACAAAAGAAAAACUUCAGCACUAGAGCUGAAGUUCGCCAGCUAUAAAAUAAAAACUUCAUCUCUAGAGCUGAACUUCAGGCCUGACUACUAAAAUGCUGAAGUUUUGCGUGAUUGUCUUUGCUAUUUCAGCCCUGUGUGCUGAAGUUAUGUGAAAAAAUGGAUACGCUUGUAAUUAUUUUUGUAAAGUGGACACAAGUUAAAAUGUAACAAAAAACGGGUAUAAAUGCAAAUGCCCCAAUUAAAAUUGCGCAUUGGGCCUAGUAACUCUGCAAGCCCAAAUUAGUAGAGUUCCCUUAAAUUGAAUUUGAGCUCUAAUAGUAAACCCAGCUGAUAGUUUAUUUAAGGCUUAGCUGGAUGUACCUAGACUCCAUAAGCAAGUCCAAUUCGAAAGCCUGUCUGGUAGACAAGCUUGGACAACCCAUUUAGACUUUGAACAUGCUGCUAUAGGAAUUUAAUGUCAUCUAUCCCCCCAACGAGGAACAUUAGUUUGGCUAAAAACGAAAUGUUAGGACUAGCCCGAUUAUUUUCGAAGUCAGUUAAUUACAACAGCCUUGCUUACUUUAAUGCCUUUGGUUUGAAAUCCCCUCUUAUAAACUGUCAUUCUAGGAAAUUAGACGGUAAUAUGCUUUUAGACGCGUUUAGUUAAUCAAACCAUCGUGAUUAUAUACACGUUCGCGUGAUACAAUUACGAUUUUACAAAAUGAACACUCGUACAAAUGCUUUUAGAUGCGGCUUAAUUGAUUAUUGUGAUUGUGUACACGUUCGCGUGAUAUAAUUACGAUUUUCAAAAUUAAAUCGAGGUAUGCGUUCGCGCAACUUCGGCCAAAUAAUCUUAAAAUUAAUAAAGUGUGAUCAAUUGUGUACACAUAUGCAUGGCAUGAUUUAAACGUCCCAAAUAAAGUGUACUUACAUACAUGUAGUCCGUUACAACGAUUAAAUCCAUAAACGCCAUAAUUAAAAGCGGUAAAAGGUAAAAUGUAUAUAGGUUCUUAAAUGAGUAAUUAAAUAAUUUUAAUUAUGCUAGGUAUGGUUAAAGUGAUCGUGCUAAAAUUAUAUAACUCGAGAAUACCUAACACCUUCUCCCGACUUAACAGAAUUCCUUACCCAAUCUUCUGUGUUCUCAGAUCAAAAAUAGAGUCAAUUUUUGUGACGACCCAAAGGGUCAUCACCGUAUUUCUCCCAUUUUUCGUGCUUUCGAGGCCUUAAAAACCUUGCUUUUAGUUGCCUUAGUUCGCGUGCGCAAUCAAGGCGCGAAGACGGGAUAUUUUUAUGUUAAAAUAUGUGAAUUAUGUGAAAUAUUUGAAGAAUUUUGAUAUUAAUAUUGUUAGAAUUGACUUUGGUCAAUAUUUUGGGCAAACGGAUCCGGACCCAUGAUAUGACGGUCCCGGAGGGUCCGUAGGAAAAUAUGGGACUCGGGCGUACUCCUGGAAUCGAAAAUUGAGGUCCCGAGCCCGAGAAAUAAAUUUUUGAAAGAAAUUAUUGUUCUGAAAAUUAUAUGGAAAUUUGAAAAGAAAAUAAGUUAGAAAAUAUUGGUGUCGGGCUCAUAUGUUGGUUCUGGCACCGGUAUAGGUCUUAAAUAUGUGUUAAGCGCUUUCUGUGGAACUUGGUCGAAAUCAGACGUCGUUUGAUGUGUUUCAGACCUAAAUAUCUAAAGUUAGAAGUUUAAGAAGUUUGAAAUGAAAAUGAUGAUUUUGAGACUUGAUUCAUUGAUUUUGAUGUUGUUUUGGCGAUUUAAUCGGUCGAGUAAGUUCGUAGAAUGUCAUUGAGUUAGUGUGUGUGUUUUGUUAGGAUACCCGAGGGCUCGGGAGUAAUUUGGAGGUGGUUCAGGGUGUUUUUAAACUUAGGAAGUUGGCAGAUUUUCUGCAAGUUUUGCCCGGGUAUUUUGUUCUUCGCGAACGCUGCCUCAUGCUCGCGUUCACAGUGCCUUGGUGUUUCCCUCUUACGCGUUCGACCCCCUUCCCGCGUUCGCGUAAUUUUGUUGCCCCUUCUAUCACGUUCGCGUCCCAUCCCAUCGUGAUCGCGUAGACCAACCCCCCAGGACCCCACUAUUUUCCUCUUCGCGUUCGCAGCAACCCAAUCGCGAACGCGAUGCUUCCAGGUCUUCUUCGUUGCGACGCAUCCUCUGAGUUGCGAUUGCGUAGGGUAAAAACCCUUCAGUGAUUUUUCUUAAAAACAGAACACUAAACACUAGAUUUUCGCUACUUUUUCAAAACUCAUCUUCUUCCCACACCCUAUAGACGAAAUUUGAAGAAUCCUUCCUCCAUAACUUCAUAGGUAAGUGUCCCUAACCUCCUUUUCUCUUCAAUCCUUCAACUAAUCACUACAUUCUAAGCCUAAAAACAUGAAAUCAAAUUAGAAAUUACAGAUUUUGGGUAGAGUUAGGUUUUUGGGGAUUUUGGGUGAUUCAACCUCAAUUUGGGGUCAAAUCUUGAAAUAAAUUGUAUAUUUGAACUCGUGGGGUUAUGGGUGAUCGGGUUUUGUUCCGAGCCUCGAGUUUGGACCAUGUGGGCCCGGGGUCAGAUUUUGGUAUUUUUGAAAGAAUGAUAGGAAUUUCAUUUCUAGGCUAUGGGAUUAUGUCUUUGAGCCCUUAUUGAUAUUGUUGAACUAAUUAUACCUAGAUAUCAUUGUUUCGGAGUUGGAUUAUAGAGGAAAUGUUGUAUUAGAGAGUUGAUUGCUAUUCCUGGACCGAGGUAAGUGUUUGUUCUAACUUUGGCUUGAGGGAAUAGGAUUAUGAUAUUAUUUGCUACUUGGUAACUGUAGAGUACGACAUAUAGGCAUGGUGACGAUUAUCUGUGCACCAUAGUCUAGCAUGACCAUGAGUCUUAUUUGUGUUGGAUUCGGAUUUGAUGAUAUAUUUUCAUUGCUUAAUUGAUAAGUUUCAUAUAAAGUGGAUAGUUGAAGAAGAAUUGUGAUUGGUAUAUAGCAUUGGAGCGUUGGCUCGAAUUAGAAUUUGCUAAUUAAUAAUGAAGUGAUUAAAGAGGAAGUGUUGAGAUUAUUCCCUUGCCGGGACGUGUAGUCUAUUAUUAUGUACUCUCCCUUGCCGGGAUAUUUGGGUUGCUAGUUGUACCCUUGCCGGGUUAAUGUGUUAUGUUCGUGAAUUUCCCCUAAUGGGGGCCUUCCUUACGAAGAUCGGAUGUUUUUGAACUAUACUAUGGGAUCGCGUGGUACGUCAUCCACUUAUAUACUAUAAUAUGGGAUCGUGUGGCAUGUCGUCGACUUAUAUAUUAUGAAAUGAGAUCGUGUGUCACGCCGUCCACUUAUAUAUUAUGAAAUGGGAUCGUGUGGAACGCCGUCCACUUAUAUAUUAUGAAAUGGAUCAUGUGACACACCGUCCACUUAUUAUAUUGUGAAACGGGAUCGUAUGACAAGCCAGCCACUAUAUAUAUUAUGAACUGGGAUCGUGUGGCAUGCUGACCACUUAUGUGUUAUAAUAUAGGAUCGUGCGGCACGCCGUCCACCAUAUAUCAUGGAAAUCUGGAGUAGUUCUGCUGUUUAUUGUUUAUAUUUCGUUUUCAUCUAUUACCUCCAAUAGCAUGUCCCCCUCUCACCUUUAUUUCGUAUUUCUCUCAUUAUUGUUUCUUGCACUUGUGUAUAUAUAUAUAUAUAUAUAUAUGCACAGGUUAUAUUUGGUAGGUCAUCUCUAGCUUCGUCACUACUUCAUCGGGGUUAGGCUAGGCACUUACCAGCACAUGAUGUAGGUUGUGCUGAUGCUACACCCUGUGCAUUUUGUACACAAAUUAGGGAGCAGCUUUUGGACCGCAGCAGUAGCAUUGCCGGGAGCUAUCUUCAGUCCAGAGAAUCUCGAGGUAGCCUAGCUGGUGUUCGCAGCCUGAAGUCCCUUCUAUGUUUUAGUAUGUUUACUUGUAUCGGACAAACAUUAUGUAAUUUCCUUUCAGACUUGUCUUUUGCAUUCUAUAGUAGUCCAUGAGCUAGUGACACCAGACUCUAGGUAGUUAUAUAUUUGAAACUUCCGUUUUAUGUUUCCAGCUAUAUAAAUCUAAAGUCUUCCCCUUUAAUUAUUGUUUUCGUUUAUUAUAUAUUGUUUAAAUAAAAUCAGGAAAAAUGGUUUAAAUAUUUGGCUUGCCUAGCUCCGACAGUAGGCGUCAUCACUACUCCUGAUGCUGGAAAAUCUGGGUCGUGACAAUUUUUCUCGAUUUUGGAUUU
rnacentral:lncRNA from 1 species